rnacentral:rRNA from 1 species
GUGGGGAAUAUUGGACAAUGGGCGAAAGCCUGAUCCAGCCAUGCCGCGUGUGUGAAGAAGGUCUUCGGAUUGUAAAGCACUUUAAGUUGGGAGGAAGGGCAGUAAGUUAAUACCUUGCUGUUUUGACGUUACCGACAGAAUAAGCACCGGCUAACUUCGUGCCAGCAGACGCGGUAAUACGAAGGGUGCAAGCGUUAAUCGGAAUUACUGGGCGUAAAGCGCGCGUAGGUGGUUUUGUAAGUUGGAGGUGAAAUCCCCGGGCUCAACCUGGGAACUGCCUCCAAAACUGCAUGACUAGAGUACGGUAGAGGGUAGUGGAAUUGCCUGUGUAGCGGUGAAAUGCGUAGAUAUAGGAAGGAACACCAGUGGCGAAGGCGACUACCUGGACUGAUACUGACACUGAGGUGCGAAAGCGUGGGGAGCAAACAGGAUUAGAUACCCCUGUAGUCC